GAUGAACGCUAGCGGGAGGCCUAACACAUGCAAGCCGAGCGGUAUUAUUUCUUCGGAAAUGAGAGAGCGGCGUACGGGUGCGGAACACGUGUGCAACCUGCCUUUAUCUAGGGGAUAGCCUUUCGAAAGGAAGAUUAAUUCCCUAUAAUAUAUUUUUUGGCAUCGAAAGAUAUUGAAAACUCCGGUGGAUAGAGAUGGGCACGCGCAAGAUUAGCUAGUUGGUGAGGUAACGGCUCACCAAGGCAAUGAUCUUUAGGGGGCCUGAGAGGGUGAUCCCCCACACUGGUACUGAGACACGGACCAGACUCCUACGGGAGGCAGCAGUGAGGAAUAUUGGUCAAUGGGUGCAAGCCUGAACCAGCCAUCCCGCGUGAAGGACGACUGCCCUAUGGGUUGUAAACUUCUUUUGUAUAGGGAUAAACCUACCCUCGUGAGGGUAGCUGAAGGUACUAUACGAAUAAGCACCGGCUAACUCCGUGCCAGCAGCCGCUGUAA
rnacentral:rRNA from 1 species